AAAAGAGCCGUUCGUUCGUGAACGACACAUCACCACACUGUAGUUCUCCACCAUUUCGUAUCGUGAGCUGGAGGAGCGUUCGUCCAACUUCUCAUCCAAGUAAAUGGCAGAGGCGCAUCAUCCAUCCGCUGAAAUCUCAAGGGACUGGGAGGAUAGUUCACGAUGCAACAAGCGUUUGGGGAGGACAUUCAUUGUAACGCAAUGACUGUUUUUAAAUUCUUGAGGGACUCUUGCUCCAGGGGAAAUCUCAGCAGUGAUGUCUCUGCUGUGCGUCAGAGGACUGUAGAGGUGGUAAGCAGAGAUGAAUUUAACUAGGAUACAGAUGAGAGUCUCUGUUCUUGGGAGGAGGGUCACUGACCUUCGAUGGUUUGUUGCCUGAUAAAGAGGAUACUUGCUGGCUUGAGGAGACUAUAAUGUUUUGAGGAGGACAUGUGGCUCGAUGACUUAAAGAGGAGGAGGAAUUAUUGGGCGACACUUUUAAUUACCAACGUAACCUCAGUGGAACUGUGGCUUCAUCGAGUUCCAGCUCUAGGCAGACAGCACGUCAGGAAGGCUGUAAGACAUCACAGAGACAGAUGCUUGGCUUUUUCUUUGUCUUGGAGAUUCGCUCUGAUUUUUCAACCUCUUCUGGAGCUUCUAGCUGCUGGCUGUCUGGCCCCCCCUGAUGGUUCUCUGGCCCCUCCUGCUGGUUCUCUGAACUCCCCUCCUGGUUCUCUGCCCAUGCCUGUUGCCUCCUUGGCCUUUCCUGGUGGCCAUCAGCAGAUCCAGUUGGCUCUUGGCUUACUUGUUGGCCAUUGGCCCACCCGGGCAACUCCUGACCGUGGUUGUAAUCGUGGCUGUGUUGGGUGGUUAGACACCGGGUGUUGAUUUGAGCAUCAGCCUCCAGAUUCAUCUGCUCCAGGAGGGGGUAAGAAGACAGUCCCAGUAGGAGACGGAGAUCGUCCAGAAGAAGAAGAGGUGUCCAUCUCCUCAGAGACUGCAGGAAAGGUCUACAAGUUUUAUUUCUGGAAAAUAAAGAGAUGCCUUCGUUCAGCAACAAUGUGUGUUUCUAUGUUUCUGUCACUAGAUGGUGCCAUUGUACACAACAUUUACUCACCAGGUCAGUGAAUUCAGAAACAGUCUUCAGAGUUGAGUCCUCAAGCUCUAGCCUACAACCCAUCAUGCAUCAGCACAACUAAUAUAAUAAUACCUCAUCACAACUUCAUAAUCACAGUACACCUGGAUUGUGUUCACAAAGUGUUUCAGGGUAGGAGUGCUGAUCUAGGAUCAGGUCGCCUCCUGUCCAUCAAAACGUAUUCAGUUUAAUUUAAAAGACCAAACUGAUUAUUGAUCAGCACUCCUUCUAUGAGACUUUGUGAAUAUGAGCCUAUGUGAAAGAACCUUUCUGGCAUAUGCUGGCUAGACAGUACACAGACAAUUCAGAUAGUCCGACAGACAGACAGAAGAGUAGAUACAGAUGGAGUGAUUGAUAGCAACAGAAAUAACGAAGCGGAUGGUUAAUGUAUUGUAAACUUUUGUAAAUAUUUGACUCACCUCAAAUCACAUGUGUCAAACCUCAGUUUUAGUGUUGAACCGAAUAAUAUCCUCGGCAUUAACUUUCUCUGGUCUGGAGCUGUAUUGUUGCGUCAUUUGGAACGCUUGAGCGUCAUAAUCCGUUCACCGCGCCUGCUUGAUUGACAGCUAGGGGUUCUCCUGCGCAUCAGUGUCCAAAAGUCGAUAAUGUUUAGCUACUCAUAAUUGAUAAAGUCAUUUAUAACUAUUUUCACUUGACUUUUAUUUCGUGUAUUUUUG
rnacentral:lncRNA from 13 species